rnacentral:lncRNA from 1 species
AUUCAGGGGUGCUCAACCACUGAGCCCCAGCCCCAGCCCUUUUUUUUUAAAUCUAUUUUGAGUUAGGGUCUUGCCAAGUUGCUUAGGGCCUUGCUAAGUUACUGAGGCUGAGGCUGGCUUUGGACUUAUGAUCAUUCUCCUUCAGCCUCCCGAGCUGCUGGGAUUAUAGGCAUGCACCACCAUGCCUGGCUGGUUACCUUUUUUGGGGGGAAUAGGAGAUGGUUGGUAGUAUAGAUCUACAUAGUUCCAUGAUAGUGGCUGAAAAGUUGAUCAACUGACAAGAGAUAUAGAAAGACUAUUAGAAAAUUGGGGACAAGCAGUACUGGGGAGACAUGUGGGUAGACACACCCUGUCCAGUGUGUUCCAGGAGUACUCACUACUGAGGAGAUGAUCACUAAUUAAGUGAACAAAAUGAUUCUUCCUGUGAUGGAUGUCAGCUUCUUUUGCUGACUUUGCUGGUGCAUGCUCAGUGGACCCAUUUACUAAGGGACAGUCCUGAUAUGGAUGGAGCAUAUCUAUAGACUUAACAACUCAGAUUUUUCCUCACCAAGGCUCAUUGCAUGCCUGGUCUACCAAUAGCAUAAGGAAAUAAUAGACCACAAGAUGAUAACAUUCCACAGAGAAACCAGCAGUUCAUCCAGUGGCUGUUUCACUAUGUUUAAUCCUUUUCAUUAUAGAGUGAACGGAAAUUUGUUCUCAUGAAGAUGAAUACUUAACAGCAUAUGGAUUUGUCUUAUCUGCUUUUAGUGUUUCUGUCCACAUAGUCACUCAUGAACCUUUAGAAAACCUAACUCAUCACUAUGGCAUCACACACUAUAUUACCUUCCCAGAGAAUAUAGUAUGUGGUACUUAUAGUAUGAGAUAUAGUAUAUGGUACUUUCCUUCAUAGAAAAGGAAGUGGGGGAGUGAGUUCAUCUUCACAAAACAUACUGAUCUUACAAUGUCCCCUCUCACUCAUCAAUAUCUGACUUGAUAAAAUGAAAUGAAAUGGCCUACUCAAGGAUCUGUUGUGGCACCACCGGAAUAACAACACUCAAGAGUUGGAGUGCUGUCCUACCAGAUGCACUACAUGCGUGAAAUCCUUGGCUGAUAUGUGGUGCUGUGUCACUCACACACAGAAUAAUGGGUAAAGCUGGCUGAUGGACAUCAUUGUCUAUCCUGUCUUCACAGAACAGGGCUGGGAACAAAAGGGUAAAGCUGAGAGUGGCCUCUUUCACUAUUGCACACAAAUCCUAUAUACAGAGUUACCACUUCCCAUCCCUUCAACCAUGGGCUCAAUCGACUUGGAAGUCUUAAUGUCCAAAGGAGAAAGUCCUCCAAGGAGCACAGUAAUGUUUCCACUGAAUUGCGCCUUGAGACUUACCAAGUAUUCUUUAGAGACUUAAAUUGUUAAAUUACUGUGAUUUCCUAAAACAGGUUAUAAUUUCUAUGUUCCAAAGGUUGACAUCUACCGAUAUCUGAUCAAAAUAGAACAUUUUCACAUUUUUUGUUUUCAGAUUAUUUUGUAGUAAUCAUAUUUCAUAAGUCAGAAUUCCUAGCAAAUCCAAAUGGUAUCCCACUCAGGUAGUGUGCUAUGAUGUCCUAUUAUAUGCAAUAUACCUUAAUGCUUUACUGGAUCCCAGAGAUGCCUAUAGAUAGGACAGUACAUCAUUCCAUAAUAAACAAAGUAUGAGUUGGGACCUACACUAUCAUACAUCAUAUAUAUUUAAAUGUGACUUUGAGAAGAAGACAUGAAAAAGAGAGAGAUUAGUCAGGAAAAUAAUAUAUUGGAUGAUCUUGGCUUGAAAACAAUACUGAUACUCCUUUUAACAACUUAAAUAUAAUUCACUACAGAUUUAAAACAUUGUAGUACUACACCUAUAUAAUACAAAUAAAAUAUUAAAAUGUUAUCAGUGAAUAUUGAUUUAAAAAGUAGACACUCAAUUUUUCAAUCUUGAUUGUUCAGAAGGAAACAAUUACAUAAAUGUUGUACAUUUAUCAGAAAAGGAUAUACAUACUACACCAUGAAACUUUCGAAUAUGAACAGUUUGUCAUAAUGACAGAAUCCAUGUCAUCUUUUCAUAGCAUCUUGUGGACAGCUGUUCCAAGAUGUUUGUGAAACAAAAAAUGAAUUUGAAUUUCUUCACUCCCACACACAAAGCCAAAUUAAAAUACAACCCCAACAUAUACACCCUCAGAGUGAUUGUUCUCAUAUUCUAGAGAAUUUGCACUUUAUAUCAUGUCAAAACAAAUGCAUAGCAUAUCAAAACUGAAUUUAGAAAGGUUUGAUUAUUGAUGACUCAAGUGACAUAUGUGAAUAUAAAGAUGCGGGAUGCAGAAGCAAAUCAGUCUUGAAUAGAGUAUAAAAGUUUUGCACAAGUUACAAGUUCUCUAUUUUUCUGGCUCUCCAACAAAGUAACUUACUGGAGUUUGAUAUUUCAUGUCAGUAUUGGAUUUGUGAAUUGAAUUAGGUAUAAGCACAAGUAAUGAAAGAAGGAGAUUGGAUUAUUCUUUCCUAAUAAACUUCAAAUGAUUGCUAUCAUCUGUACUUAUAAACCCAUUUCUCUUUGUUAUAUGAAUUUUCAUAUACUGGACUUUCUCCCUAGUAUUAUUUUCUAACUUCACUCUCUUGCUUCUACCUAUUCUAAUCCUGUGCAUUUUUCAAAGUUAGCUCAAUUAUGCCUCAUGCAUUCAUUUACUCAUUUACUCAAAAUAUAUUUCAUGAGUGUAAUAUGAACUCAGCAUGAUGCCUUGGAGCUGCAAUUACAAGCAAAUUACUACCCAUAUCCUCCAGAAAUCCAGGUAGACUGGAUGACAAAUAAUUGCAAUCUUUCUAUGCCUGUUCUUCUAUAAUGUCACAUUGGUCAUAUUUCAGCAGCAGGAUUGUGAGGAAUUAGAGUAUACAUGAAAACUAC